rfam:Stegodyphus mimosarum contig52377, whole genome shotgun sequence.
GCCUUCGUAGUGUAUUCGUAAGCCCGCUCGACGCGUAUUCGAGAGAUCCGGGGUUCGAGUCCCGGCAAGGGCA